UGCAGCUUCUCCGGUCACAAGUCAUUAAGGACCUCUGGGUCUAAAGCCAAUGGCCCUUUUGCAGUCUUUCUCUUACGUGACACCGUAGGUCAUUAUGUCCUUAAUAGCACUACCUCAUCCUCUAUGACACCAUACUCUCUCCUCUUCUUUUCCUCUGACUGCCUUGGCUGCAUUUGCCCAGCCUCUUCUAUGGAACCCCAGACAUGAGAGUUGCUCAGGGUUCUCUCUUAAUUGAAGUCAUGAUGACUUCUUUUGACCCGUAAAAUUUUUAGAGGUAGAAGCUGUUGCCAUUAAUUUGAGGCCUUCUUUUCUGUAAUAGACCUGCAGUCUCACACCACAUGAUGAUAUUUCAGUUGAUGAUGGACCACAUAUACGAUGGUGGUUCUAUAAGAUAUUCCUUAAAUCUGGGACUCUGUGGCUCCUUGGCCAGAGGUACAGCCUGGAAGGCCACAGCCCCUCACCUGAGCUGCUCCCAGUCCGGUGGGAGAAAACCCCACUCAGGAGGAGCAUGGUCUCAUGGAGGAAGAUGAGGACACUGAGAUUCUGAGAGGCCAAACAACUUGUCCAGGGUCACCCAGCAAACACAAGCAGAAAUAGAACCUGGAUUGAGGUUUGUCACAAGCCUGGAGUAGAGCAGAGGUGAGUGGGAAAAUCUUCUACUACCACUUUAAGAAGAGAAUUACAGACUGGGGGUCUGUGAUGGUUUCUGGGACCUAUGCAGCUUUAUCAAAGGCUCCCCUGCCCACCCCCCAGCCCCCAGAAACGUAGACAUAGUUCCCUGCUGUCGCCCAGAGUGGGAAUGAGAAGCACUUCAACCUGGCCUUAGUCCAGUGAUACGAACACAGCGAGGCUAACCCGCGCCUCAGUCGCUGCAUGCCAGCUCGGAGGGUGGGGCCCCAAGGCACCGAACCUCUGCCUGGAGGCCGCGGGAGAUCGGGCUAGGCCCAGAACAUGCCUUGGUCUCAGUUGGGCCUCCUCAGGCUGGAGGACUUUCCCCUGCUGAAAGACUAAACUCCUUUUCUCCACCUGGGGAAGGUGCAGCUCAGCCUCCCAAGGGCCACUUUGAGAAGCCCCAUUCAUUAGAUGUUUCCUGUCAUUAUCCAGGGGAAGAUGUGGAUUUUGUUUCUUAAAGAGGACUGGACUAUAUCUGCUUGGACUCAGAGAGUCAUGGUGCCAGAGGUGCCUCUGCUAUGGCCCAGGGCAUCUCCCCCAACACAGGCCUUCUUGCCUCUGCUUGGACACUCUAUAUUCACUUGCAAAGUAGGCACUCCCUUCCUGGAUGCUUUGAGUAUUUCAAGCCUAAAUCUUCCUCCUGUGACUUCUGCCCUCUAAGUCUGUCUGGGCAGUCACUUCCAGUCCUCCAUGAAAGUCUUCAGAGAUGGAGACCAUGUCUUUGCAAAAUCUUUUCUUUUCCAGGAUCAAUACCUAACCUCUUUUACAAAUUUCUCCCUUGAGAAGGUGUCUGUUCCCAGCUUGUUUGUGGGUCUUCAGGGUCCUCACAACUGAGCCAGAUCCCAGUCUGCGGGGGCUGCCUGUGCUGUUUCCUUCUCUGCCACAGGAUGGUCCUGCCUCUCCAUGACUCACCAUGAGCUUAACUAGAGCUGAAGAGUGUUUUCAUAGGUGCCAUAUCUAUCCAGCUAUGGUUCUCCUAUAGUGCACUUAUCAAAUGGAUUUCUGGAAUCUAAUUUUAGAAUCUUUUGUUUAUUCCUAGGAAGCUUCAGCUUGUUGGUUUGGGCUCAGUUUACCAUUUUUUUCAAAUUUAUUUCAAAUCGUGAUUCUGUUUUCCACUUCAUAUAUG
rnacentral:lncRNA from 1 species